CUACGGGGUGCUGCAGUGGGGAAUAUUGCACAAUGGACGAAAGUCUGAUGCAGCAACGCCGCGUGGAGGAUGACACAUUUCGGUGCGUAAACUCCUUUUAUAUAGGAAGAUAAUGACGGUACCAUAUGAAUAAGCGCCGGCUAACUCCGUGCCAGCAGCCGCGGUAAUACGGAGGGCGCAAGCGUUACUCGGAAUCACUGGGCGUAAAGAGCGUGUAGGCGGAUAGAUAAGUCAGGAGUGAAAUCCUAUGGCUCAACCAUAGAACUGCUCUUGAAACUGUCUAUCUAGAAUAUGGGAGAGGUAGAUGGAAUUUCUGGUGUAGGGGUAAAAUCCGUAGAGAUCAGAAGGAAUACCGAUUGCGAAGGCGAUCUACUGGAACAUUAUUGACGCUGAGACGCGAAAGCGUGGGGAGCAAACAGGAUUAGAUACCCUGGUAGUC
rnacentral:rRNA from 1 species